CGUCAUUGCGCCGCGUCCUUCUCCGUGGUUUCCGGCGCUCGUGCCCGCGGAGCGGGCGCGCGCUCUCCGCAUCCCUUCCUGCCGCCGUGGGGCCUGUGAGCUCCGGCGAGGGGCUGUCAGGACGGCGCCGGCGAUGGCAGCGGGGCGCCUAGAAGCGGCCGCAUCGCGGGUGGCUGUGCUGGAAGAAGAGCUGCGGUGCCUGGCGGAGGAGCUGAGCCGCUGCCAGGUACCUGAGCGCGGGGCGUGGCUGUGAGGGGCGGCCGGAGCUGCGCGGCCGGGGCCUGCCGAUGCGUCUGGUGCCGCUGGGCCGCGGGUUCGUGCGGGUGGGGAGAGCCGGAGGAGCAGCCCCAGAGCAUCCCGCGGGGCCCACCUGUCGGGCGGGGCCGGGGGCCGCCCAGGUAAUGGCGAUGGGACCAGGCAGCCUCGUGCCCACAGCAGAUCCAGCCCCCGUACGCGUACUGUAGCUCCAAAGCAGGCGUAGCGCCUCCGAGCUACUGUCUGCGUUCUGCCUCUCCGUCCUCGAAAAACUCAUGUAUUUGCUGAGUGAGUUGUGUUGUGGAUACCAAGGUGGCAGACCAUGUCUGACAAAAUAUUUGACACGGAAGUACAUCUGAGGCGAAGGUGUGGAAUUGAAUUCCUCCAUGUGGAAAGAGUUGUACGUUUUGACAUUGGUGGCUAGCAUGUGAAAGGAAGUCCAAGUUCUGGAUGGCCAUGCACUGCUAUCACCUGCGUGAAUCAGCUGAUGGUGAUGACUGCAAUGAAAAACAAUGUUCUGUAGCUAAGAAUUUCCUCUGUCAAGAAGUGCUAUUGUGAACCUGCUAUCUAUUGUAGUUUCC
rnacentral:lncRNA from 1 species